UACAGAGGUGGCAAGCGUUGUUCGGAAUUACUGGGCGUAAAGGGCGCGUAGGCGGUCCCGUCAGUCCCUUGUGAAAUCCCCCGGCUCAACUGGGGAACUGCAAGGGAUACAGCGGGGCUUGAGUUCGGGAGAGGGAAGCGGAAUUCCGGGUGUAGCGGUGAAAUGCGUAGAUAUCUGGAGGAACACCGGUGGCGAAGGCGGCAUCCUGGACCAACACUGACACUGAUGAGCGAAAGCCAGGGGAGCAAACGGG
rnacentral:rRNA from 1 species